GCAUAUGCAAAUCCCCAAACCAACAUCCUCAAGCCACUCACCCACUCACAAGGUUCCUUAAGAAAAGAUAAGAAGUGUCACAUUUCCUCUUUGGUCAACACUGAGAAGCUACCAGACUCAAGAACUUUUCACCUUGACGGGAGCUUUGUCACAUCAUUCCUGAGAAAGUUUCUUGGAUUGUUGCAGCUGGUACCUUGCUGUUAUGGGAAUCAGGUGCCUGAUCCUCUUCUCAGGUGAGUGCAACAAAGAAUUCCCCUUGUUUCAUUUCAUGCCACUGCAUCCUAACUUAAGUGGACAUUUUUUCCCGAAAUGACCUUGUCACCUGCACCCUUAGAAACUUUCAUACUGAACUUCUUAAAUUGAACUUCUCCAAAGCAGACCCUGUGAUAAAAACAUGAGUAUAAGCAGUUUAUUUGGGAUGUGAUCCCAGGAAGUACAAAUGAGGGAGUAGGGGAUGUGAGACAGGAAUGGAAGAGUCAAUGAAGUGUGGGCUAAUGAGAGGUUACCUCUAUGGGUCAUUAGUGGUCAACCCUGCUGGGGAUCCUCCAAAAAAUAAUCUGACAUGAACCUCAAAAGGCAAGGAAGCUGGAUUAUUUAUCCUCC
rnacentral:lncRNA from 1 species